GGCUCCCCUAGUGCUUGAGUGGGCUUGGCCCAGGAAAGAGGAGGGAGACCCUGUUUCUUGUCAUCGACAGGGACUUCAUGCCACACUCAGGCUCCAGUCUCAGGGAGGUUGUGCCCAACUGGGGCUUCCACUGCUUCCUUUGAUCUGCGGCUGCCCCAUGGAGGGUCAGAUACUGACCAUGAGGAAAUACAUGUCCACAAUUGGUCUGCAGAGACAUGAGGUGGAAACAGACCCUCACAUGUCUCCUGAAGAUGAACGGUGCAACUCCUCGCACAGGAAGGCAGGCACACCCUCUUGGAUAUGUAAAGUUGCUUACAAUGCCCCACCCCUCCCAUAUCCUCCCCAGAGACGCCCCAUGGUCUUUGCCACCCAGCUGGUCAGGGCAGAGCUGGGGCCAGCAGGCUUCACUGUGUACAACCAGCCAGCUGACUUCACAAGGUCCCUGCAGGGCUGCCAGGCAGGCCAGAAAGAGCCAAGGAAGGAAGACGGCUACAGAAGCUGGGAGGGGCCGCCACUUGUUUCUCAAACUCCUGCAGACCUGAGGGCUGUGCCCAGGCAGCCUAGAGAGACUGUGGUUUACUAAGGAGAUUAAAGAGAAGCCAUGCUGCCUUCAUUACCAUAGAACCAGGUGGAAGGAGCUUUCUUGGUCCAGAAGAAUGAAAGUCACUACUGAUCCCAGGGCUGGGGCCUAGCACAGGAUAGGUCCUAGUUUCAUGAACUGAAAUUGCCAGACCCUAUUUGCAGUGGUGACUCCGAUUUACUCUCCCACGCCCAGCUUCAUUCUUUUCUCAUUUUUAUUGCCACCUCAGACCCCAGUUCACAUCAAACACAUCAGCAGUCUACCAGAUGCUUCAACUGGAACAUCAUCGUGGCUGCCAGCCACUUGCCUCUACCCUGCUCCUGGGCCCCGAGCACGAGCCCACCCAGUCAGGAACUUGCUGCCCUUGCUAAUGCCAAAAAAAAGCCACUCCAUUCUUCAAAUGGGGGGCAUAAAACCGCAGCCUGCCUUUUUAAUAUUACUGGAAGUCAACAUCUGUAGCACACCUGAUGGGUGCACAGUUGGAUUGGGGGCUUCUCCUCUGAUGUCCAAAUGAGGACUUAUACAUACCCAGGUGGGAGGAGUGUCAGGCAGCCUGGGGCACAUCCUCUCUCUCUCCACAAACACUGGGCAUUCCAUGCCAGGCCUGAUGCCACACCCUCCUGGGACACCUCCGAGAAUUCUCCCUUCUCCCUCCAUGGGGAGCGACCCAACUCUCACAGGUGGGGAGCCCAAGGCCCAGGAGGCUUCUCUUUCCUCACUGUUAGCAGCUUAAUGUUAAAAUGAAGACAACCUCGACCCCCCAACAACUCCAACCUGCUGUCCCCGUUUCCACUUGAUGCCUGUGAAAGGUCAAGGCAAAGAAGGGCAGUAGGAAAACUAGGCUUUCUGCCCAGCAGCCCUGUCCAGACAGCCUGCCAUCUGUCCACAUGGGAUGCCACCCAGCCCUGGCAAGAAGUAGGACCUGUUUGCAACAGAGGGACCUCCCUGGGCCCGCAUCCCUCCAGGUCCUCCCCAGCCUGGGAAGAGGAGGUAGAAGGGAUGGUGGUCUGCAGGCCCUUGGCUCAGCUCUGAUGGACACUUGGUUCUGUUGUUGCUCUUGGUCCCCGCCUUCGUGACUCCCAUGGGAUCCAGGGACUGCAGAAGCUGGUUUGCCAUCUCAAAAGACUGAUGUGACUUCCCUUCAAGGCACAGGCAUCUGGGAAGCACUACGUAGACACUGUGCCAGAACCCCAGCGGUAGGGGCAACAGUGCACACAGCCACUCGGGGAACCACGGCAAGCCACCAGGAAGGCACUGCUCCACCUUGGGCACACCUCCUCUGGGCAGCCCAGCAUACCCGUGAGGAAGGCGGUGCAGCCUGCUCCAGCAUGGCCUUGGGGGACUCCUGGGAGGGUGUCUCUGCCCCUGGUGCCCCACAAGGCACUGCUGAUGUUUGAUGAGGCCACUACUAGCUGCUUCACAGGCAGACACAGAAGCUGGGACCUACAUGAAAGAACCUUUGAGAUGAUAAAUAAAGACCACACACUCUUUUUAAAA